rnacentral:rRNA from 1 species
UUGGAGGGCAAGUCUGGUGCCAGCAGCCGAGGUAAUUCCAGCUCCAAUAGCGUAUAUUAAAGUUGUUGCAGUUAAAAAGCUCGUAGUUGAAUUUCGGGGUUAGUAGGUUGGUCGUGCCUCAGGUAUGUACUGAUCUCACUGAUUCCUCCUUCCUGAUGAACCGUAAUGCCAUUAAUUUGGUGUUGCGGGGAAACUGGACUGUUACUUUGAAAAAAUUAGAGUGUUUAAAGCAGGCUAACGCUUGAAUACGUUAGCAUGGAAUAAUGAAAUAGGACGUUCGAUCCUAUUUUGUUGGUUUCUAGGAUUGACGUAAUGAUUAAUAGGGAUAGUUGGGGGCAUUAGUAUUCAAUUGUCAGAGGUGAAAUUCUUGGAUUUAUUGAAGACUAACUACUGCGAAAGCAUUUGCCAAGGAUGUUUUCAUUAAUCAAGAACGAAAGUUAGGGGAUCGAAGACGAUCAGAUACCGUCGUAGUCUUAACCAUAAACUAUGCCGACUAGGGAUCGGAUGAUGUUAAUUUUUUAAUGACUCAUUCGGCGCCUUACGGGAAA